rnacentral:snoRNA from 1 species
CCCCUUUCAGGAUCACACCUGGAGAGUUUCCAGCACUCUACUGGUCUCGGCUAUGGGAGGGAGAGUCAAGCAGAGGCCUACCCAUUCCAUUCCUAGCUUGGGCAGUGGCUAGUGAGUAGAAGGCAAUGUGCUACAAGU